rnacentral:rRNA from 1 species
GAUGAACGCUGGCGGCGUGCCUAAUACAUGCAAGUCGAGCGAACAGACGAGGAGCUUGCUCCUCUGACGUUAGCGGCGGACGGGUGAGUAACACGUGGAUAACCUACCUAUAAGACUGGGAUAACUUCGGGAAACCGGAGCUAAUACCGGAUAAUAUAUUGAACCGCAUGGUUCAAUAGUGAAAGACGGUUUUGCUGUCACUUAUAGAUGGAUCCGCGCCGCAUUAGCUAGUUGGUAAGGUAACGGCUUACCAAGGCAACGAUGCGUAGCCGACCUGAGAGGGGGAUCGGCCACACGGGAACGUAGACACGGUCCAGACUCCUGCGGGAGGCAGCAGUAGGGAAUCUGCCGCAAUGGGCGAAAGCCUGGCGGAGCAGCGCCGCGUGAGUUAUGAAGGUCUUCGGAUCGUAAAACUCUGUUAUUAGGGAAGAACAAAUGUGUAAGUAACUAUGCACGUCUUGACGGUACCUAAUCAGAAAGCCACGGCUAACUACGUG